GUCCGUAGCCUAACCGCAAGGGGGGCGCGGCCGAAGGUGGGUUCGAUAAUUGGGGUGAAGUCGUAACAAGGUAGCCGUAUCGGAAGGUGCGGCUGGAUCACCUCCUUUCUAAGGAGA
rnacentral:rRNA from 1 species